rnacentral:rRNA from 1 species
GAUGAACGCUGGCGGCGUGCUUAAUACAUGCAAGUCGAACGAACAGACGCUGAGCUUGCUCCGUUCUCGUGUGCCGAGCACGGGAGUGUCACAUGAGUAACAUCCACUUAUAAUAGUGGUAACAUCUGGGAACUCCGGCUAAUACAGGAUAUAAGCUACUGCUCCGCAUGGGUGAUUGGUAAGUUACGGCGGUUCGGUCAGUACUCGCGGGAUCUGCGCUGCUUUAGCUAGUGGGUAAGGAACCGGCUUACCAAGGCAACGCUGCGUAGCCGACUUGAGAGGGUGAUCGGCCACACUGGAACUGAGACACGGUCCAGACUCCUACGGGAGGCAGCAGUAGGGAAUCUUCCGCAAUGGGCGAAAGCUUGACGGAGCAACGCCGCGUGAGUGAUGAAGGUCUUCGGAUCGUAAAACUCUGUUAUUAGGGAAGAACAAAUGUGUAAGUAACUAUGCACGUCUUGACGGUACCUAAUCAGAAAGCCACGGCUAACUACGUG